GCCCAGACCGACCUUAGUCUCGACUGCUCUGCUGCGACGGAGCUCGAUCGCUCCUCCGUCUUUCGGCCGUCUCCCGGUGCAAGACUAGUGUCAAAAGCUUCGUCUCGUCGUCCCCAACAGGACUGUGAUGUUGUUCCUCCAUGGGAAGCUUUGGUGAGAGAGAAAAGAAGGAGGGAAGGUGACUGUUUUUCUGAUCGGGUUUCCGAUUCCGACCACGACGGCGAGCGUGAAUGGUACUGGUAGCUUCGUCUUCCCAUCCUCGUUCUAUAUGUGGUCUCGAAAUCUUCAGAGGAGCCUUCAUGAGUGAGAAUCGAUUAAUUGAAGCUCAAGAAGUUUCCCGGCGAGGGUUCGAUGUUUUCCGGCCACCGGCGAAGGCAAGUGGGGUAUGGAACUUGAUCUUCUCGUCGAGCUCUACCUGUUUAUAUAAUUGAAAUUGAGUUUUGUUGAGUUUGGAGGAGUUGGAUUUUUGGCAGUGGGUGAUUGUCGUACGUGCCGCCGUGCACGGCCAAGGCGGUGGAGAAGGUGUUUGAUUCAUAUCUGGUUUCGGAUUUCAUGUUUUAUGUGUUCUUGAGCUGCAGUUUUGAUUGAGAAUUGAAGAAUCGAAGUUUUGGGUUUUUCUGCCGUAUCGGGUUUAUUGUUCUUGGUGAUGUCGUGAUCAAUGUUUGAUUAAUUUUUGGUUAGAUAUGAAUUUCAAAGCAUGAUUUUUAUGAUCAGAUAUAUACUAGAGCUACAAAGUUGAAGGAUUGGAGAAGAUGGAUAAUCGGAAGUUUGCUAAUUUUUAGUUACUGUUAUAGUGUUGUUAGAAUUCAAAUUGGAGAAGUGUGUUGAUUGAAUUGGAUUAUCGAAGUGGUAUUGGUAGGUGGAGCAGUUGAUAGCUUUAUAGUGGAAUUGGUUUUGAUCUACUCUUUGUUAAUGUUUGGUUGAUAAAGAUUGAGAAUCAUAGAGUUGGAGUUGAUACAUAUAUUUGGUUACUUGUUUUGAAGUUGGAGGAAGCUGAAAGUUGAUGAUAUUCAUUUGAAGUUGAUUAGGGUGAGGUCGUGAGGAUGGUGUUAGUAGGUGGCCUAUAUUCCUUUUGUGGUUCAGUUUGGUAAUUAAAGAUGAAUAUUUGAUUUGGGCGUUGUUACAUGCUAAAAGAUGUUUGAUGGGAAGUAUGAAGAUUUUGGGUGUCCUUAGUAAAUUUUUGAGUUUGAUCAUGUUGAUUUAAUGUGAUUCGUCAACUCUCUGGGAAUGAGGAUUUGGUACGAGGAUUAAAUGCGAGUAGCUGGAUUGCAGGAGCAGAAGGAUAAAGAUUUCAGAAUGCGUGUCGCAGUGUUGUUAAUUUUAGCAGGCGUCAAAACUAACACUUGGAUUCCAGUUUCUUUUAUUUUUCCUGCUCACACCUUAGGUUCGGCGUCAGGCGUUUGGAAACCACCGACACCGGGUCUGGGGUGUGACACUACUAGAAAGAGAGGACCUGGUAAUUCCAUCAACAUUAAGUUUGUACACAUUCUCAAUUCUCAGGAGGUCUUUUCCAAGACAAACUGUAACACACACCUUCAUUAGACAUU